rnacentral:rRNA from 1 species
AUUGAACGCUGGCGGCAGGCCUAACACAUGCAAGUCGAACGGUAGCACAGAGGAGCUUGCUCCUUGGGUGACGAGUGGCGGACGGGUGAGUAAUGUCUGGGAAACUGCCCGAUGGAGGGGGAUAACUACUGGAAACGGUAGCUAAUACCGCAUAACGUCGCAAGACCAAAGAGGGGGACCUUCGGGCCUCUUGCCAUUGGAUGUGCCCAGAUGGGAUUAGCUAGUAGGUGAGGUAACGGCUCACCUAGGCGACGAUCCCUAGCUGGUCUGAGAGGAUGACCAGCCACACUGGAACUGAGACACGGUCCAGACUCCUACGGGAGGCAGCAGUGGGGAAUAUUGCACAAUGGGCGCAAGCCUGAUGCAGCCAUGCCGCGUGUAUGAAGAAGGCCUUCGGGUUGUAAAGUACUUUCAGCGAGGAGGAAGGCGUUGUGGUUAAUAACCGCAGCGAUUGACGUUACUCGCAGAAGAAGCACCGGCUAACUCCGUGCCAGCCGCCGCCGUAA